rnacentral:rRNA from 1 species
GAUGAACGCUGGCGGCGUGCCUAAUACAUGCAAGUCGAACGCUUUGUCUUUAAUUGAUAUGAAGAGCUUGCUCUGAUUUGAUUUUAUCUGACAAAGGGUGGCGAACGGGUGAGUAACACGUGGGUAACCUACCUCUUAGCAGGGGAUAACAUUUGGAAACAAGUGCUAAUACCGUAUAAUACUAACAACCGCAUGGUUGUUAGUUGAAAGAUGGUUCUGCUAUCACUAAGAGAUGGACCCGCGGUGCAUUAGCUAGUUGGUAAGGUAAUGGCUUACCAAGGCGAUGAUGCGUAGCCGAGUUGAGAGACUGAUCGGCCACAAUGGGACUGAGACACGGCCCAUACUCCUACGGGAGGCAGCAGUAGGGAAUCUUCCACAAUGGGCGCAAGCCUGAUGGAGCAACGCCGCGUGUGUGAUGAAGGGUUUCGGCUCGUAAAACACUGUUAUAAGAGAAGAACGACAUUGAGAGUAACUGUUCAGUGUGUGACGGUAUCUUAUCAGAAAGGAACGGCUAAAUACGUG